UUCUAUUAAAUCACGUGCGUCACCUUUUAAAAGUUUGUUUGGUUAUCUGCGAAGGAUGUUGGUGGUGUUUUGUUAGUCAAAUAUCAACUUUGUUACACCCAUGCAGUUUCCAUUCAAGCUGUGUGGUAGCACCUAAACUCGGUAAAGUUAGGGUUUCAAGUUUAUCGUUUAAGUGUCGCGGCAAUUCUCAUAAGCGCGAUAAAUUGACCUUUGAGGAAAAUUGAGCUAGCUUAAUUUACUGUAUCGUUAGGUCAUUUUUCGGUUCAUUUAGAGUUGAGAAACCCUUUUUUCGUCUAGUACUAUCAUGAGUUUGGAAAGUCUGUAUCAACAAGUCCUGCUAACGGAGCGGCAGAUGUCUGAGCAGACGAAAAAAUUUCAAGAAGUCAAAGUGAACAUCAUUAGAUGCAGUGAGAAGAUUAAGGCCUCCACUGACAAGUAUGAAAAGGCCAUUGAGGAACUUCAUGGCAAGGCUCAGCAGCUGUCAGAGAUGACAAUGCAGCGUGAUCUGAUGAAGAAGAAUGAGGACCAGUUGUUGAAACAAAUACAGGAGCUGCUUGGCGUGCAAAGCCACCUCAAGGAACGUCUAUAUAUCAUUAAGAGGGACUCUAAAGAAGAAGAGGAGAAGUUCCUACAGGAGAUCCAGAGGUUCAACAGUGACUUCAGUCUUGUUGGGAGCAGAGAGACUGUGAUUGAGAGCCAGACACACUCUGAGAUUCUGGAGCUAGAGAAGAAGGUGCAACAACUAAACAGAGAGAUGGAACUCAUGAGACACAGGAAUAGCCACAUGAACUCCAUGCAGGAGGAGAGGGGAGUGUUGCAACUGGAACUUCAAGGCUUGGACCACCUUAACAAAGACCUGGAUUGCCAGUUGAGUGAGGCUGAAGCAGUGACAGAAUAUCUGAGAGCAGAGAGUCUGAUUGUCAGUCAAAAACCUCUCACUGACAGCACCUGUCUGAGAGAGGCCUGCUUUAAAAGAGUCCAAGUCUGCAGCUGGGCAGUUGUACACCAAAUGGGGACAGAGAGUAAGUGCCUCACUGGCCUUGAAGCUGUUGAGAAGACAAUGUUGUCUUCUGUCUACAAUAGUAAUGCAGUAGUCAUGGUCUUCUGCAUGACUGCUUACCAUUCUGAAGACUGCCCAACUAAGGAUCAACUAAACAAAUGGACUGAAGAAGGAGCUUGAAAUGCAUAAGGAGGGAGAGCAAGAGCUUCUGCGAGAAGCCCUCACCUCAGAAAUACAGUUUCUGCAGUCAAAACUGGACAACCGCCAGGGCAGCCAGCAGCAGUAGGCGAGAUUUACACAGUGAUGAUAUUGGUUACUGAAAAUUACAGUGAUUAUCUCAUUUUCACUUUAGCUUUGAAUGUAAGUGUCUCUAUGCUAGCGCUAAUUGAAAGUUGUUCUUCUUAAUGUUUAUUUUUUGUGCACAGAGCAGGAGAAAAAAAAACACAUGUAUCUAUGUUUACAAAGAGGUAGAUAGAAAGAAAGAGAAGGAGAGAGAUGAACCACGAUCCAAGUGCCUUAUGUUUGUCCAAAUAAUAACUUACGUCUUGGUGUUAGCAUAGUUUGUUCUUUAAUUUUACUUUGAAUGGUAGCAUGAAAAAGAGGGAGCAGAUUCCAUUGUGUCGAUAACCUCAGUCAGUACAGACUAUAGAGAAUGGCAUCAUACACGUCUGCUAUGCUCCACAAAGGGAGACCAGUGCAAACAGUGUGGGGCAAUGCAGCUAAGACUGCUGGUAAAAACACUCUUUUUCCCACAGUCCUUUAGCAAUUUAAGGAAAUCUGUGUAUUCUGACAAGGCUUACUUGGGUUAGUCUAUAUGAAAUUACGCAGAGAUCUGUCUUGACUAGACAGAAUGUAGAAAAAUAUGUAUGCAUGUAUUUAUUUAUUUAUUUUUAUUUGUUUAGUUUAACCAAAAAAGUUACUACACACAUGCAGAUGGUUAGAGAUGCAAAUGGUUACUGGAAAGUUAAACAUGAAAGUCAAUAUUAAAUUUGAAUUUGGUUUAUUUAUUAGAUUAAUUCUUUUCAAAGUUCAUCAUAAAAAAUUAGGCUGCCUCCAUCCAGAUGUUCUCUAAAUUGUUAAUUGUUAGCUUACAUAUUUUAUUCAUUAUUAUCAUUUCAAAUCUAUCAUUGCUAUGGACUGCAUCUUUAUACUGACCUCUCAUAAAGUUGGUGACAUUGCUAUAUCACCUGCAUGUGACUGAGAGAUUAAGUUAAACAAAAGCAUUUAACUGUUAUUAUAAAUAUGUACAAAAUGUUUUACUGCAUUUAAGCAUUUUGUGGUUCCUACAGCUGCAUAAUCAGUUAGUGUUUGUGUAUUUUCAUUAUACAGGUAUAUAUGUAGAUUAAACUAGACACAUGUAAUAAAUUGUAAACUAUAAAAACAUUCCUUACCAACUUUAUUUUGUCAUCAUACAUGUACCCUGUUUCUUCAGGCCUUAAGCCUGCCAAUAAACAUUAGAGAUGUUUCAGGUUCCCAGAAGUUCAUCAACAAAAGUUUAAUCACAUCAUCAAAGAAUCUAUAAAGUGCAUGUGUGUAUUUUGUGGAAAAAGCAGUGGCCAUAAAAGAAUAUAAAAGGAAA